rnacentral:lncRNA from 1 species
AAUAUAUGUGUGUGUGUAUAUAUAUAUUCUAGGUAUUUGUCCUCUGUUGGACAUGUGGUUUGCCAACAUUUUCUCCGUCUGUAACUUGUCUUUUCAUCCAUUAAGGAGCCUUUCACAGAGGAAACAUUUUCAUUUUGAUAAGAUGCAAUUUAUCAAUUUUUAUAUUGUGUUAAAUCCUAUGUCUCAGGAGUUCGCAGCUGGGUUAUGUUGAAACUUAACCCUAGGUAUAGGCCUAGUAGCCAAUAGAAGUGGAGGAAGAUCCUGAGAGAGGUGUAGGUUGACCUGUAGGAAACACCAAGAUUACAGAAGACACAAAUUCUUAACAGGAAGCAUUAAAAGGUAUAAAGGAAUUUAGCAAUUUCAAAAAAAAAAAAAAAAGGAUUUUUGAGAGCAUCAUCCCAGAUGCCCUCAUCCCAAUGUCAGGAUGUCAUUCUUUCCUAAAUAGGGCCUAACCUGACAUAGCUGACCUGCUUCAGUAGGCAUUUAAACUUGGGAGCUCAGAUAGAUACUCUGCCAAUUAAGCCCUUGUCCUAGUCUACAUUUUUCUCUGCUCUCCCAAUGGAGGAAAUGAGGCCCUCAUUAUCACCUACCAAGGAAACCCUUACACUUUCACACUUGCGUUUCAAUUGACAGUUCAUCACUCUCAGCCUGUUAUCUUUUUCUCCAGUUUCAGUAUAGUUUAGCAAUAACCAUUCAAUCCCAUUAGUCUUAUAGAUAUUGGUUUUUUUCAUAUUUUUCAAAUGCUUGAUACAUUGUACCGGUAAUGCUUUCUCUUUCACAAUUAUAUGAGCCCAAAUUCAUCAUUAUUGUUUUACAGAUUGAAAUUUUUACAAUGGGAUCACCAGCUGUGCCAGGGGUUACCUGUGUCCUACCCACCAUCAGUGCUGCUGGAGGCUUUGUGUCUUCUCUAGUCUGCCACUGGACCACAUAAAUCCACCGCAUGGAUACAUGGCUCCACCCUUCCCCACCUCUGCCUCUCUAUACCAACUAAUGAACAAAGGUCUCAGAAGGUGAGGAGUAAAAUUAAAUGUUCUAUUUAUUUCAGUACAGCUGUUUUUUGUUUGUUUGUUUCACUAUCAAUUUGCCUCUAUGUUUUUGUGUUAGGAAACAAUCACAAUGAUUAAAAGACUGUGCUCUACUAUAAUUCCACUCCUUAUUGGCUAUGCAGGGUUAUUCAAUCUUCUCAAGCCCCAAUAUUUUCAUCUACAAAAAGGAGAUAAUAUUACUGUCACAUAAGGUUAUUGUGAAGAUUAAAUAAGACAAUACUAAUAAAGAGCUUGGAAGAAUAACUGACA